rnacentral:rRNA from 1 species
AGCAGCCGCGGUAAUUCCAGCUCCAAUAGCGUAUAUUAAAGUUGUUGCAGUUAAAAAGCUCGUAGUUGAAUUUCGGGGUCAGUAGGUCGGUCGUGCCACUGGUAUGAACUGGUUUCACUGAUUCCUCCCUCUUGUAGAACCGUGAUGCCAUUAAUUUGGUGUUGCGGGGAAACAGGACUGUUACUUUGAAAAAUUGAGUGUUUAAAGCAAGCUAACGCUUGAAUACAUUAGCAUGGAAUAAUGAAAUAGGACGUCUGUCUUAUUUUGUUGGUUUCUAAGAUGGACGUAAUGAUUAAUAGGGAUAGUUGGGGGCAUUAGUAUUCAAUUGUCAGAGGUGAAAUUCUUGGAUUUAUUGAAGACUAACUACUGCGAAAGCAUUUGCCAAGGAUGUUUUCAUUAAUCAAGAACGAAAGUUAGGGGAUUCGAAGACGAUCAGAUACCGUCGUAGUCUUAACCAUAAACUAUGCGACUAGGGAUCGGAUGAUGUUAAUUUUUAAUGACUCAUUCGGCGCCUUACGGG